AUCUCAUCCCCAAAUGUAUCUGGAAUCUCAGGGGUCUGGGAAUUUGGGAUUAUAAGACUUGAGGGCACAGGUAUCCCGGCUUUCCAGAAGUUCGAGUCCGCCCUUUUCUCUUAUGAAAGACCCACAUUAGUCUGGGGAAGGCUUCCUCACGGACGUGGAGAGUCCUCCAGAUGGUUUUGGUUAGCAAGGCCAGAGGCUGAUGCAGAACUUUUGUCAGCUGCGCGGUGGAACGCGAACCUUCGGCAAGUGGGCGGUACUUUGCGCCCACCCGAGUUUUCGCGGGAUCGCUGUGCCUGCAGAGCCGCGGAGCCGAGACAGACGCGGGGUCCGCAGGGAAGAAAGAACGCGGCGCUGGUGUGCAUGUGUGCACGUGCAUGUGUGUGUAAACUUGGGACGUCAUCCGGAACAGGGACGGACCCUUUCGUGGGUGAAACUGUGCAGCUCCUCGUGGCCGGCACAGGGAGGUCAGCUGCUCCCGCGAGAGGACUGCAAAAGACAAGCCGUGCUGCAGAGAAUUGGCUCAUUUCCGGAUCCCGGGACAGGGCCACCCCUCUGGUGGUUUUCUUCGCCUGCAAGUAUGUAACGUCACGGCCGUGUGGAAAGUCCUGUGUCUUCCCUGGAGGAAAGCGAAGAUCACUGUCUCCAUCCACGUCUGUUGUAACAUCACUAGACUCAAUAAUGGAGAGAUCCAGUGAGAGUGCCCGGUCUGCAUUCCUCAGUCCCUGUGGGGCCUUUCAGUUUGGCUUUACGUGUUUAGUUCCUUUGUUGGGUGGUACAUAGAGGUUGAUGCCUCACGUCUCCGUUGUUCCCAACAUGCGCUCACUUACUCAGUGCGGAGAUCAGCGUGCGCCAGGGUUCGCGCUCAGGCUCCUGUCCUCUUAGUGCUGUCUUGACAUCGAUCUUGCAUCCUCUGUUCUGAUUCACGGUCAGUUUUCCGGUAUUCCCCUCGAAUGGGGUACAUGACGACAUGUGGACUAACACUUCCCUGCUCACAGUAACGACUUCUGAGCUAGUAUAAGAUGCCUGGGGUGGAGUCCUUCUCCCUCCAUGACCCAUGGAUGACAUUUCAAUGUCCUCUGCUUCCAACACUGCAGAUGAGAACUCCAGGCCUGGCUAAGAUUUUCUCUCUUGAAGGACCAUGUUCUUUCUGUCAACAAGCGUGUUCAUUUCCCCACCCUGGCUGCCCCAUCCACCCACAAGAUUUCAGGGCAUCAUGGGUUUGUGAGGGUGAGGGAAAGGACAGGCAGAGGCUCCAGUGGGGUGCGUGGGUGACAGCGAUGGGGAUCGUGCACCUCUGUUGUGCUCUCAAGCCCCCCUCGGGUCUUGGUCACUAAUAUUUUAUUGGAACACAGCCAGGCACACUCGUGCUCAUUUGCUCAUGGCUGCUUCCACAGUCUAGCAGCAGAGAACGAGCUAGACAGAGGCCUCACAGUGCUUUAGAGACUGGCAGACCCUGAGCUACCGGGCCCCAAGAGGUGACCUCCCUGAGGUGGAAUCCCCUGGCCUCUCUGACCCCAGGGCACUGGCCUCCCUCCCUUGCUGGGUACCAGAGAAGAGAAGGUGGAGGGCCUAGUCUGGGUGGAGGCUGGUGGGUUAGCUGGAGGGUGAGCAGCCUCCAGCCUCCAUGAGCCUCCCAAGGGGCAAGGGCAC
rnacentral:lncRNA from 1 species